GGAAAAGAGAAAGAAGGAGUAGGUAAAGAUAAUAAAUUUUGUUUUGUUUGAUCAGUUUCUUCUUCUCUCUCUCCUUUUUCUUCCUUCUCUUUCU
rnacentral:ribozyme from 13 species